rfam:Oryza barthii chromosome 8, whole genome shotgun sequence.
AAAGACUGCAGUUUUGCACUAUUUAUAUCUACUGUUUGAUUGUCCGUCUUAUUUAAAAGUCUUAUUUAAAAUUUUUUUAUGAUUAGUAUUUUUGUUGUUAUUAGAUGAUAAAACAUGAAUAUUACUUUAUAUGUGACUAUUUUUUAUGUUUUUUAAAAUAAGACGGACGGUCAAAUGUUGGACAUGAAAUUUUCAUAACUGCACUUAAA